AUGGAGAGUCUCCUACAUUGGGAUUUUUCCCCUAGCCUAGCCCUUGCAGAUCAGGUGAGACGACAAUUUGGCUCUACGGUGCAUUUUCCCCCCUCUCGGGACCGCAAGGAAUUCUUUCUUGUGGCCACGUUCUCUUCUGCCUCCUUCCCUAUUACUAUGGAUUCAGUUGGAAUUGCUUUGCAAUGUUGUUUGGGU
rnacentral:rRNA from 1 species